AUACUCACUUCAGCAACACAUAUGUUGGAUUUGGAAUGAUACAGAGAAGAUUAGCAUGGCCCCUGCACAAGGAUGACAUGCAAAUUUGUGAAGUGCUCCAUAAAACA
rnacentral:snRNA from 1 species